rnacentral:rRNA from 1 species
GAUGAACGCUGGCGGCGUGCCUAAUACAUGCAAGUCGAGCGAACAGACGAGGAGCUUGCUCCUCUGACGUUAGCGGCGGACGGGUGAGUAACACGUGGAUAACCUACCUAUAAGACUGGGAUAACUUCGGGAAACCGGAGCUAAUACCGGAUAACAUGUUGAACCGCAUGGUUCAACAGUGAAAGACGGUUUUGCUGUCACUUAUAGAUGGAUCCGCGCCGCAUUAGCUAGUUGGUAAGGUAACGGCUUACCAAGGCAACGAUGCGUAGCCGACCUGAGAGGGUGAUCGGCCACACUGGAACUGAGACACGGCCCAGACUCCUACGGGAGGCAGCAGUAGGGAAUCUUCCGCAAUGGGCGAAAGCCUGACGGAGCAACGCCGCGUGAGUGAAGAAGGUCUUCGGAUCGUAAAACUCUGUUAUUAGGGAAGAACAAAUGUGUAAGUAACUAUGCACGUCUUGACGGUACCUAAGCAGAAAGCCACGGCUAACUACGU